UAUUACUAAGCGGAGGAAAAGAAACUAACUAAGAUUGACAUAGUAAGGGCGACUGAAAUGUCACGAGCUCAGCAUGUGAAUCAGCGUUUGCCUUAGCAGGCGCUGAAUUGUGGUCUUACGGUGCUUGCGCCACUUGGUCCAGACCAUGUUUUUUGGAAUAAAAUAGCAAAGAGGGUGAAACUCCCGUUUGUUUGGCCAUCCAAUGCAAGUACUACUGAGUCGAGUUGUUUGGGAUUGCAGCUCAAAUGCGGUGGUAAAUUCCAUCUCAAGCUAAAUAUUGGUAGGAAACCGAUAGCGUACAAGUACCGUGAGGGAAAGAUGCAAAGAACUUUGAAAAGAGAGUGAAAGAGUACCUGAAAUUGCUGAAAAGGAAGCGAACGAAGCUAGUGUCAGCUACGUCAUACUUUCCAACUUGCUUGCAAGUUGGACGCUGUGACUAGCUCUGUUCGAAUCAAUUCCUGUUCCACGUGUAAGCACGYGAAGUAAAGUUUCCAUUUACUUCACUAUCCAACAUGUGCUGGAAUKGAUUUGAACRAAAUAGAUUUGUUUGCCCCGUCUAGAAACACGGACCAAGGAGUCUAACAUAUGUGCGAGUACUGGGGUAACACACCUUGGUGCUAAAUGAAAGUGUCAGAGGCUGGAAUGCGUUAUGUAUUUGCACAGUCUGCCGGCCUCAAUCCUUCGGGAAAAUGGUCUGAGUGUGAGCAUACAUGUUGGGACCCGAAAGAUGGUGAACUAUGCUUGAGUAGGGUGAAGCCAGGGGAAACUUUGGUGAAGGCUCGCAGCGAUUCUGACGUGCAAAUCGAUCGUCAAACUUGAGUAUAGGGGCGAAAGACUAAUCGAACUAUCUAGUAGCUGGUUCCCUCCGAAAUUUCCCUUAGGAUAGCAGCAAUCUUAUAAUAGCCAGUUUUGUCA
rnacentral:rRNA from 1 species